UUUAGUACCUUAAUUAUCAUCAUUUUGCAUGGAAAUUCCAUUGAUUCAAAACCAAAAAUUUAAAGUGUUCUUGAAUCUCCAUUAGCAAAAGUGAUUAAAUGUGAGUUAAUUUUUUGUUUAUUUUAUUUUAUUUGUAUUAUUAUUCUUGUUGUACUUAAUUAGUAUCUUAAUCAUCAUCAUUUUGCAUAGAAACUCCAUUGAUUCAAAAUCAAGAGUUUAAAGUGUUCUUGAAUGUCUAUGA
rnacentral:lncRNA from 1 species